AGACAGGGAGGGAGGGAAGUUGAAAGUGAAAGUAUGAAGUCAGACUUGUCAGAGUGCCAAACGCCAUUUUACAGCUCGACGGAGCAGGAGGACAACAGGCAGGGGGAGACACAUCCUAAUGAACACGUGGUGAUCAGAGAUCUGACCCUAACACAACAGCAGACUGGGGAAGAUGAGUGGUUUUAAAGAUGAGGAAGAGGACACAUCUUCAGUCUCCAGCUGUCUGUCUCUGAAGAGUGACUGGUCUAAAGAGUGGAAUCCUCCAGAC